UUGGUGAAUGAUGAAGUUGUUUGUUCCAUGGAGACACUGAUGUUCAAUGCUUAUUUGCACAUGGUACUUUCGAUAUUGUGCUUGAUUGAGGAUAUUACUGGUCAAGUAAUACAAAGUUUUUUAUGGAGAUGGAAGAGUGCAAGGUAUCUAGAAGUAGAUUGGGAGAGUCUGCUUACUGAUGGUGAUGUUGUAAAAUUUGGGAUUGUCUUAGUUGAAUUGGAGAAAUAAAACUGUCAUUUUGUCUGCCUUGGGUGCAUAUGUUUCGUGUAA